AAAUUUCAGAUUAGGGUUUAUCUGUUUGGGAGAUUGGCAAUUUAUCCUUGCUCCGACUGUUGAUUUACAGAAGCAACGUUUCCAAUCAGAUUUGGACAAGUUGUAGAGGACUCUGAUUCGAGACCGUAUCUCGACGGGUAUCUUGAUUCCCGGAUUGGACCAUUUUAUCGGAGGCGGGUACUUUGACUUAUGUCUUUUGAUAUGCAUAAUAAAGUGUUUAACAUAUAGCAAUGAUUGUG